UACGAAGGGGGCUAGCGUUGCUCGGAAUCACUGGGCGUAAAGCGCACGUAGGCGGCUUAGCAAGUUGGAUGUGAAAGCCCUCGGCUUAACCAAGGAAGUGCAUCCAAAACUGCUGAGCUUGAGUAGUUAAGAGGAUCGCGGAAUUCCCGGUGUAGAGGUGAAAUUCGUAGAUAUCGGGAGGAACACCGGUGGCGAAGGCGGCGACCUGGGACGAUACUGACGCUGAGGUGCGAAAGCGUGGGGAGCAAACAGG
rnacentral:rRNA from 1 species